rnacentral:rRNA from 1 species
GAUGAACGCUGGCGGCGUGCCUAAUACAUGCAAGUCGAGCGAACAGACGAGGCGCUUGCUCCUCUGACGUUAGCGGCGGACGGGUGAGUAACACGUGGAUAACCUACCUAUAAGACUGGGAUAACUUCGGGAAACCGGAGCUAAUACCGGAUAACAUGUUGAACCGCAUGGUUCAACAGUGAAAGACGGUUUUGCUGUCACUUAUAGAUGGAUCCGCGCCGCAUUAGCUAGUUGGUAAGGUAACGGCUUACCAAGGCAACGAUGCGUAGCCGACCUGAGAGGGUGAUCGGCCACACUGGAACUGAGACACGGUCCAGACUCCUACGGGAGGCAGCAGUAGGGAAUCUUCCGCAAUGGGCGAAAGCCUGACGGAGCAACGCCGCGUGAGUGAAGAAGGUCUUCGGAUCGUAAAACUCUGUUAUUAGGGAAGAACAAAUGUGUAAGUAACUAUGCACGUCUUGACGGUACCUAAUCAGAAAGCCACGGCUAACUACGUG